rnacentral:rRNA from 1 species
AACUUGUGGGUGGAUUAGUGGCGAACGGGUGAGUAACACGUGAGUAACCUGCCCUUGACUCUGGGAUAAGCCUGGGAAACUGGGUCUAAUACCGGAUAUGACUGAUCAUCGCAUGGUGGUUGGUGGAAAGCUUUUGCGGUUUUGGAUGGACUCGCGGCCUAUCAGCUUGUUGGUGGGGUAAUGGCCUACCAAGGCGACGACGGGUAGCCGGCCUGAGAGGGUGACCGGCCACACUGGGACUGAGACACGGCCCAGACUCCUACGGGAGGCAGCAGUGGGGAAUAUUGCACAAUGGGCGAAAGCCUGAUGCAGCGACGCCGCGUGAGGGAUGACGGCCUUCGGGUUGUAAACCUCUUUCAGUAGGGAAGAAGCCGCAAGGUGACGGUACCUGCAGAAGAAGCGCCGGCUAACUACGUGCCAGCAGCCGCGGUAAUACGUAGGGCGCAAGCGUUAUCCGGAAUUAUUGGGCGUAAAGAGCUCGUAGGCGGUUUGUCGCGUCUGCCGUGAAAGUCCGGGGCUCAACUCCGGAUCUGCGGUGGGUACGGGCAGACUAGAGUGAUGUAGGGGAGACUGGAAUUCCUGGUGUAGCGGUGAAAUGCGCAGAUAUCAGGAGGAACACCGAUGGCGAAGGCAGGUCUCUGGGCAUUAACUGACGCUGAGGAGCGAAAGCAUGGGGAGCGAACAGGAUUAGAUACCCUGGUAGUCCAUGCCGUAAACGUUGGGCACUAGGUGUGGGGGACAUUCCACGUUUUCCGCGCCGUAGCUAACGCAUUAAGUGCCCCGCCUGGGGAGUACGGCCGCAAGGCUAAAACUCAAAGGAAUUGACGGGGGCCCGCACAAGCGGCGGAGCAUGCGGAUUAAUUCGAUGCAACGCGAAGAACCUUACCAAGGCUUGACAUGAACCGGAAACGCCUGGAAACAGGUGCCCCACUUGUGGUCGGUUUACAGGUGGUGCAUGGUUGUCGUCAGCUCGUGUCGUGAGAUGUUGGGUUAAGUCCCGCAACGAGCGCAACCCUCGUUCUAUGUUGCCAGCACGUGAUGGUGGGGACUCAUAGGAGACUGCCGGGGUCAACUCGGAGGAAGGUGGGGACGACGUCAAAUCAUCAUGCCCCUUAUGUCUUGGGCUUCACGCAUGCUACAAUGGCCGGUACAAAGGGUUGCGAUACUGUGAGGUGGAGCUAAUCCCAAAAAGCCGGUCUCAGUUCGGAUUGGGGUCUGCAACUCGACCCCAUGAAGUCGGAGUCGCUAGUAAUCGCAGAUCAGCAACGCUGCGGUGAAUACGUUCCCGGGCCUUGUACACACCGCCCGUCAAGUCACGAAAGUUGGUAACACCCGAAGCC